ensembl:misc_RNA
AGAUGGUCCCCGAGCUCCGGGAGAGUCCUCAAUGAAAGGAUUCCGCGGCUCUGCCUCUAUUAUUAUACCGUAAAUCUUUUUAAAUUCUGGAACUAAUUAUAUAGAGGAUAUGUCUCAAUUUGUUCUGCAUUAAUGCCACAGUGGGGAUGGAGGCCAGGCUGUGGCCAGAGCAGAUACGCAGGCCCAUGAAAUUGAUGAACUGAGAGUUGCUUCCAGUCCUGAGCGCACCAUCUGGAAUUCCAGUCUGAGGUUACAAUUAGAACUCCUGACCCCAGAUUCAACUUUGCAAACAAC